rnacentral:rRNA from 1 species
UACGUAGGGUGCAAGCGUUAAUCGGAGUUACUGGGCGUAAAGCGUGCGCAGGCGGUUUCACAAGCUCGAUGUGAAAGCCCCGGGCUUAACCUGGGAAUGGCAUUGAGGACUGUGGAGCUCGAGUGCGGCAGAGGGAGGUGGAAUUCCACGUGUAGCAGUGAAAUGCGUAGAGAUGUGGAGGAACACCGAUGGCGAAGGCAGCCUCCUGGGCCGACACUGACGCUCAUGCACGAAAGCGUGGGGAGCAAACAGG